rnacentral:rRNA from 1 species
UAAUACGAAGGUGGCAAGCGUUAUUCGGAUUUACUGGGCGUACAGGGAGCGUAGGCGGUUCGGUAAGCCCUCUGUGAAAUCUCCAGGCUUAACCUGGAACAGUCGGAGGGGACUGCUGGGCUAGAGGACGGGAGAGGAGCGCGGAAUUCCCGGUGUAGCGGUGAAAUGCGUAGAGAUCGGGAGGAAGGCCGGUGGCGAAGGCGGCGCUCUGGAACGUUUCUGACGCUGAGGCUCGAAAGCGUGGGGAGCAAACAGGAUUAGAUACCCUGGUAGUCCACGCCUUAAACUAUGAAUACUAAGUGUCGGCGGGUUACCGCCGGUGCCGCAGCUAACGCAUUAAGUAUUCCGCCUGGGAAGUACGGCCGCAAGGUUGAAACUUAAAUGAAUUG